UACAGAGGUGGCAAGCGUUGUUCGGAAUUACUGGGCGUAAAGGGCGCGUAGGCGGCCUUCUAAGUCAGACGUGAAAUCCCCCGGCUUAACCUGGGAACUGCGUCUGAUACUGGGGGGCUCGAGUAUGGGAGAGGGAUGUAGAAUUCCAGGUGUAGCGGUGAAAUGCGUAGAUAUCUGGAGGAAUACCGGUGGCGAAGGCGGCAUCCUGGACCAUAACUGACGCUGAGGCGCGAAAGCUAGGGGAGCAAACGGG
rnacentral:rRNA from 1 species